rnacentral:ncRNA from 2 species
CUGUCAUGGCUGCUGUCAGUGAGGGCCCGUAAUGGAGAUCGAGUCAAGGGUUGCCCAGGGACACUUAAGAGCCUUCGGCUUCAAGGAGGCCUCUCAAAGGACAAAGGAUGAGACUGCCUGGCGGCAGAGUGCCCCCCACAAUCGUAGGAACUGUGUCGCCGCGCUUCCCGUUAACUUGCCGCUAAGUUUUUCUAGAAAAGUCGCCCUUCUUGCCAGGGGUGUCCUAUAGACUUUGUCAUGGAGUGAAACAGAAACAAAUACUUCAUAUACCCCUCAUGAUGUCAUGAGAUGACUGUUUGGAUUAAUCAUCUUCAGACCAAGACUCUUCAGCUGGCUUGGCUUUUUCAGAGGAAACAGAGACUCUCAGACAUGAAUACUGUGACACUGACCACCAGGCCAACUUAACAUCAGCAGAUAUCCUGUCUCAGAUGAAGAGAAUGGCCUGUCCAGAAGACAGCCAAAUACAUCCUUCAAACAGACUUCACUGCAGGAGACAGAGUGGAUUCAUCCUGUAUUCUCCAUGUAGACUUCCAUCUUCAUGAGUACUCCAAGAAGAUGGUUCAGUUGACUAUUGCAAAGUCUCAGGUAUGUCUUUAUCAGCAGCAUGAAAAUGGACUAAUAGUACCAGUAGAGUGGGGCAUUGCUGAAAAGAUACCCGAAAAUGUGGAAGCAACUUUGGAACUGGGUGUUGAAAUAAUCUGGAGGGCUCAGAAGAAGAUAGGAAAAUGUAGGAAAGUUUGGAACCUCCUAGAGACUGUGAAUGGCAUUGACAAAAAUACUGAUAGUGAUAUGAACAAUAAGGUCCAGGCUGAGGUGGUCUCAGAUGGAGAUGAAGACCUUGUUGGGAACUGAAGUAAA